CUUCGACGAGCCCAGCCACAACGGGCUGGAGCGAUCCCGCCCAUAGGUCGCGAGCAGCGCUUGGGCCUC
rnacentral:antisense_RNA from 1 species